GACGAACGCUGGCGGCGUGCUUAACACAUGCAAGUCGAACGGAAAGACCCUGCUUUUGUGGGGUGCUCGAGUGGCGAACGGGUGAGUAACACGUGAGUAACCUGCCCUUGACUUUGGGAUAACUUCAGGAAACUGGGGCUAAUACCGGAUAGGAGCUCCUGCUGCAUGGUGGGGGUUGGAAAGUUUCGGCGGUUGGGGAUGGACUCGCGGCUUAUCAGCUUGUUGGUGGGGUAGUGGCUUACCAAGGCUUUGACGGGUAGCCGGCCUGAGAGGGUGACCGGCCACAAUGGGACUGAGGUACGGCCCAGACUCCUACGGGGGGCAGCAGGGGGGAAUAUUGCACAAUGGGGGGAAGCCUGAUGCAGCAACGCCGCGUGCGGGAUGACGGCCUUCGGGUUGUAAACCGCUUUCGCCUGUGACGAAGCGUGAGUGACGGUAAUGGGUAAAGAAGCACCGGCUAACUACGUG
rnacentral:rRNA from 1 species